rnacentral:rRNA from 1 species
AGCGUAGGCGGACUUUUAAGUGAGAUGUGAAAUACCCGGGCUCAACUUGGGUGCUGCAUUUCAAACUGGAAGUCUAGAGUGCAGGAGAGGAGAAUGGAAUUCCUAGUGUAGCGGUGAAAUGCGUAGAGAUUAGGAAGAACACCAGUGGCGAAGGCGAUUCUCUGGACUGUAACUGACGCUGAGGCUCGAAAGCGUGGGGAGCAAGCA